UAAGCGGAGGAAAAGAAACUAACAAGGAUUCCCCUAGUAACGGCGAGUGAAGCGGGAAGAGCUCAAAUUUGAAAUCUGGUGGCCUCAGGUCAUCCGAGUUGUAAUCUAUAGAAGUGUUUUCCGUGCUGGCUCAUGUACAAGUCCCUUGGAACAGGGCGUCAUAGAGGGUGAGAAUCCCGUCCUUGACAUGAACUACCAGUGCUCUGUGAUACAUUUUCAACGAGUCGAGUUGUUUGGGAAUGCAGCUCAAAAUGGGUGGUAAAUUCCAUCUAAAGCUAAAUAUUGGCGAGAGACCGAUAGCGAACAAGUACCGUGAGGGAAAGAUGAAAAGCACUUUGGAAAGAGAGUUAAACAGUAUGUGAAAUUGUUGAAAGGGAAACGAUUGAAGUCAGUCGUGCUCUUUGGAUUCAGCCGGUUCUGCCGGUGUACUUCCUUUGAGUGGGGUCAACAUCAGUUUUGAUCGCUGGAUAAAGGCUGGAGGAACGUAGUACCCUCGGGUAAACUUAUAGCCUCCUGUCACAUACAGUGGUUGGGACUGAGGAACGCAGCACGCCUUUAUGGCCGGGAUUCGUCCACGUACGUGCUUAGGAUGUUGACAUAAUGGCUUUAAACGACCCGUCUUGAAACACG
rnacentral:rRNA from 5 species